rnacentral:rRNA from 1 species
UACGAACUGUGCGAACGUUAUUCGGAAUCACUGGGCUUACAGGGUGCGUAGGCGGCUCAACAAGUCAGGUGUGAAAGCCCCCGGCUCAACCGGGGAACUGCGCUUGAAACUGUUAGGCUCGAGUCAGCUAGAGGUACACGGAACUUCCAGUGGAGCGGUGAAAUGUGUUGAUAAUUGGAAGGAACACCGGAGGCGAAAGCGGUGUACUGGGGCUGGUCUGACGCUGGAGGCACGAAAGCCAGGGGAGCGAACGGG